ensembl:misc_RNA Metazoa_SRP Metazoan signal recognition particle RNA
GCUGGGCGUGGUGGUGGGCACCUGUAAUCCCAGCUACCUAGGAGGCUGAGGCAGGAGAAUCGCUUGAACCCAGGACAUGGAGGUUGCAGUGAGCUGAGAUCACGCUGCUGCACUCCAGCCUGGGUGACAGAGUGAGACUCCGUCUCAU